rnacentral:rRNA from 1 species
UACGUAGGGUGCAAGCGUUGUCCGGAAUUAUUGGGCGUAAAGAGCUCGUAGGCGGCUUGCCGCGUCGGCUGUGAAAACCUAGGGCUCAACCCUGGGCCUGCAGCCGAUACGGGCAAGCUAGAAUUCGGUAGGGGAGACUGGAAUUCCUGGUGUAGCGGUGAAAUGCGCAGAUAUCAGGAGGAACACCGGUGGCGAAGGCGGGUCUCUGGGCCGAUAUUGACGCUGAGGAGCGGAAGCGUGGGGAGCGAACAGG